CACGUAGGGUGCGAGCGUUGUCCGGAAUUAUUGGGCGUAAAGAGCUCGUAGGCGGUGUGUCGCGUCGGCCGUGAAAACUGUGGCUUAACUAUGGGCUUGCGGUCGAUACGGGCAUCACUGGAGUUCGGCAGGGGAGACUGGAAUUCCUGGUGUAGCGGUGAAAUGCGCAGAUAUCAGGAGGAACACCGGUGGCGAAGGCG
rnacentral:rRNA from 1 species